AUAUACUAUAAAAAAUUGAAAUCCAAGAUGGCGGCCGCUACAAAAUGGCGGAUAACGUAUGUUUUAUCAAUCCCAUCAAUAUGGGUAUCAAAUGAAAGGGCUCAACAAGCAGAAUACAAUAUACUAUAAAAAACUGAAAUACAAGAUGGCGGCCGCUACAAAAUGGCGUAUAACGUAGGUUUUAUCAAUCCCAUCAACAUGGGUAUCAAAUGAAAGGUCUCAACAAGUAGAAUACAAUUUACUAUGCAAAAUUGAAAUCGAAGCUGGCCGCCGCUACCAAAUGUCUGAUAACAAUUUUUUAUCAAUCCCACCAAUAUGGGUAUCAAAUAAAAGGGCUUGACAAGAAGAAUACAGUGCACUAUAGAACCUCAAUAUUUAAGAUGG
rnacentral:misc_RNA from 1 species